UACGGGGGGGGGUAAGCGUUGUUCGGAAUUACUGGGCGUAAAGGGCUCGUAGGCGGCCAACUAAGUCAGACGUGAAAUCCCUCAGCUUAACUGGGGAACUGCGUCUGAUACUGGAUGGCUUGGAUUCGGGAGAGGAAUGGCGGAAGUUCCAGGUGUAGCGGUAGAAAUGCGUAGAUAUCUGGAGGAACACCGGUGGCGAAGGCGGCAUUCUGGACCGAUAUUGACGCUGAGGAGCGAAAGCCAGGGGAGCAAACGGG
rnacentral:rRNA from 1 species